GACGAACGCUGGCGGCGUGCUUAACACAUGCAAGUCGAACGGAAAGGCCCUGCUUUUGUGGGGUGCUCGAGUGGCGAACGGGUGAGUAACACGUGAGUAACCUGCCCUUGCCUUUGGGAUAACUUCAGGAAACUGGGGCUAAUACCGGAUAGGAGCUCCUGCUGCAUGGUGGGGGUUGGAAAGUUUCGGCGGUUGGGGAUGGACUCGCGGCUUAUCAGCUUGUUGGUUGGGUAGUGGCUUACCAAGGCUUUGACGGGUAGCCGGCCUGAGAGGGUGACCGGCCACAUUGGGACUGAGAUACGGCCCAGACUCCUACGGGAGGCAGCGGUGGGGAAUAUUGCACAAUGGGCGGAAGCCUGAUGCAGCAACGCCGCGUGCGGGAUGACGGCCUUCGGGUUGUAAACCGCUUUCGCCUGUGACGAAGCGUGAGUGACGGUAAUGGGUAAAGAAGCACCGGCUAACUACGUG
rnacentral:rRNA from 1 species